UUUAAGAAUUUUAUUUAAAGUAAAUCCUGCUCAAUGUAAACCAUAAAUAGCCGCAGUCCCUACUGUGCUAAGGUAGCGUAAUCACUUGCUUUUUAAUUGAAAGACAGUAUGAACGGUUAAACAUUUUAAAAAAGUUUCUAUAUACCUAACUAAUCUAUAAUUAAAGUAAAAAUACUUUUAUAAAUAAGCAAGACGAUAAGACCCUGACAAACUAACCUUUUAGUUGGGGUAACUAAUUAAUAAAUAUUUAAAUCAACCAAUACAAAAAUAUAUAAUAAAAUUUAGACUAGUUACUGCAGGGAUAACAGCGCUAUAUUUUACAAGAGACCCUAUCUAAUAAAAUGAUUACGACCUCGAUGU
rnacentral:rRNA from 1 species